GCGCUACAUCACGAGCGACCAAACGGUCCGGCAACCGGGAAUCCACGGUGCCAAGUCACUUCGGUGACGAUGUGGCCCCGCAAGGGGCAACGGAUCGCAUGGUGGC
ncrna:unclassified sequences SAM-I/IV variant riboswitch